rnacentral:rRNA from 1 species
GCCACUGCUAUUGGGGUUCGGCUAAGCCAUGCGAGUGGAGGGCGUCCCGCAAGGGAUGGCCUCGCAGACGGCUCAGUAACACGUCGUCAACCCACCUUAGGGUGGGGGACAACCUCGGGAAACUGAGGAUAAUCCCCCAUAGGCGGGGGAGGCUGGAAUGCGCCCCCGCUGAAAGCUCAGGCGCCCUAGGACGGGACGGCGGCCUAUCAGGUAGUUGGUGGUGUGACG